UGGGGAAUUUUGGACAAUGGGGGAAACCCUGAUCCAGCCAUCCCGCGUGUGCGAUGAAGGCCUUCGGGUUGUAAAGCACUUUUGGCAGGAAAGAAACGUCAUGGGUUAAUACCCCGUGAAACUGACGGUACCUGCAGAAUAAGCACCGGCUAACUACGUGCCAGCAGCCGCGGUAAUACGUAGGGUGCAAGCGUUAAUCGGAAUUACUGGGCGUAAAGCGUGCGCAGGCGGUUCGGAAAGAAAGAUGUGAAAUCCCAGAGCUCAACUUUGGAACUGCAUUUUUAACUGCCGGGCUAGAGUGUGUCAGAGGGAGGUGGAAUUCCGCGUGUAGCAGUGAAAUGCGUAGAUAUGCGGAGGAACACCGAUGGCGAAGGCAGCCUCCUGGGAUAACACUGACGAUCAUGCACGAAAGCGUGGGGAGCAAACAGG
rnacentral:rRNA from 1 species